GGUUCUUUGGCAAUGUGGUCAGUGCAUGUGACUCUUACUCAGGAGUCUAGGGUUCAAACCCCCGCCCGGGCCU